rnacentral:rRNA from 1 species
CAGCAGCCACGGGAAUACGAAGGGGGCUAGCGUUGUUCGGAAUUACCGGGCGUAAAGCGCACGUAGGCGGAUAUUUAAGUCAGGGGUGAAAUCCCAGAGCUCAACUCUGGAACUGCCUUUGAUACUGGGUAUCUUGAGUAUGGAAGAGGUGAGUGGAAUUCCGAGUGUAGAGGUGAAAUUCGUAGAUAUUCGGAGGAACACCAGUGGCGAAGGCGGCUCACUGGUCCAUUACUGACGCUGAGGUGCGAAAGCGUGGGGAGCAAACAGGAUUAGAUACCCGAGUAGUCCCUGUCUCUUAUAC